GCCGUAUUGAGAAAAAGCUUCAGAUAAUCCAUUCUCUGUGGUGUAAAAUGACAAUCCUCCAACGAAAAGCUUAGUAGCAAUGCUACGACAGCAAAAGAAAAGAGCAGGAGGAAGAAGAGGAGAAGUUGAUUAUGAUCCUGCUUUUUCCCGCGAUUCUCCUAAGAGCCGCCAUUAGUAGUUGUUGAGAGGAUGAGAAAGAGUGAUGACUCUCGCGAGUCGGCGACUCAAAGUAGAAGUCGAUCGGUGAACCUAUAUUUCGGGUUAGUCGGCAGAAGGGAAGGAUGCGCGCGUUGGCUCGGCUCCAGCGGUGUAUAUGUAGA
rnacentral:misc_RNA from 1 species